rnacentral:rRNA from 1 species
UACGUAGGGUGCGAGCGUUGUCCGAAAUUAUUGGGCGCAAAGCGCUCGUAGGCGGUGUGUCACGUCGGCCGUGAAAACCUGCAGCUUAACUGUGGGCGUGCGGUCGAUACGGGCAUCACUGGAGUUCGGCAGGGGAGACUGGAAUUCCUGGUGUAGCGGUGAAAUGCGCAGAUAUCAGGAGGAACACCGGUGGCGAAGGCGGGUCUCUGGGCCGAUACUGACGCUGAGGAGCGAAAGCGUGGGGAGCAAACAGG